rnacentral:lncRNA from 1 species
AUCCAAGGAAAAAGGCCCAAAAAUAGGGUGUCUUUUCCGACCGAAAGAUCGGCGACACUCAUCGCCGGCCGCCUCAAGCACAGGUACGGGAAGAUAGGGAAGGAAGAGAGGAAGGAAAGGAAGGCUCACCCCCCGGCCUCUGGUGACCUCACCGACGAGAAAUCACGACGAGAAACCCAACAGUGCCCGCGGCUCUUCUUCAGGAAAAUCGGAGAGAAAGAGAGGGAGAAGAGGCCGAUGGUCGAUCUCAAGGGGG